UGGGGAAUAUUGCGCAAUGGGGGAAACCCUGACGCAGCGACGCCGCGUGAGUGAUGAAGGCCCUCGGGUCGUAAAGCUCUGUCGGAAGGGAAGAACGUUUGGCGGUCGAAUAGGCCGUUAGGCUGACGGUACCUUCAAAGGAAGCACCGGCUAACUCCGUGCCAGCAGCCGCGGUAAUACGGAGGGUGCAAGCGUUGCUCGGAAUCACUGGGCGUAAAGAGAGUGUAGGCGGCCUCAUGUGUCUGACGUGAAAGCCCCGGGCUCACCCCGGGAAGUGCGUUGGAAACUGUGAGGCUAGAGUCUCGGAGAGGGAGGUGGAAUUCCAGGUGUAGCGGUGAAAUGCGUAGAUAUCUGGAAGAACACCGGUGGCGAAGGCGACCUCCUGGACGAUGACUGACGCUGAGACUCGAAAGCGUGGGGAGCAAACAGGAUUAGAUACCCCCGUAGUCC
rnacentral:rRNA from 1 species